rnacentral:rRNA from 1 species
CAGUCGCCGCGGGAAUACGUAGGGUGCAAGCGUUAAUCGGAAUUACUGGGCGUAAAGCGUGCGCAGGCGGUUAUAUAAGACAGAUGUAAAAUCCCCGGGCUCAACCUGGGAACUGCAUUUGUGACUGUAUAGCUAGAGUACGGCAGAGGGGGAUGGAAUUCCGCGUGUAGCAGUGAAAUGCGUAGAUAUGCGGAGGAACACCGAUGGCGAAGGCAAUCCCCUGGGCCUGUACUGACGCUCAUGCACGAAAGCGUGGGGAGCAAACAGGAUUAGAUACCCCAGUAGUCCCUGUCUCUUAUAA